GCAUCCCAGGGAAUCUAAAGUGUCAUUUCCUCUCUGGAAGAAAGGAAGCAGAAAACAUGCUAGUCACACUUCCUGUGAUGGUGUGAGAUGAUGGAAUGCCUACAUGAUGAAACGAAAUGAGGCUUCACUGACUUCAAUCAAUCAAUGUUGGCAUAUUAUAGAACUUAAGAUUUGGAAUCUUAUCUUCUGAUCUGAUAAUUUUCCAUUUGAUGAGGAAAAGCAUUAAGCCCAGACAGUCUGUGCAUUUCCCAGAACAUGGGUUGAUUUUAUGUGCACAAAAAGUGGACAGUGAGCCCUUCAACACACUCUUCUCAAUGCAGGUGAAGCCUGUGUGGGUAGUAGUCAUCUCAUAACCAUGGCUGAAAACCACAAGCUAAGAAUGGCAGGACAGGAGGCUAGGAGAAGCCUGGACCUGAGGAAAUUCUUGAAGACCGCACAAGCCCAUGUUUACGCAAUACAAGAUGACUCCUGCCCUUCUAGGAAGAAUCUCUUACUAAAAUGAAAGAUUACUUGGAAUUUCUGGUUGACUGGAGAC